rnacentral:rRNA from 1 species
GACGAACGCUGGCGGCGUGCUUAACACAUGCAAGUCGAACGGAAAGGCCCUGCUUUUGUGGGGCGCUCGAGUGGCGAACGGGUGAGUAACACGUGUGUAACCCGCCCUUGACUUUGGGAUAACUUCAGGAAACUGGGGCUAAUACCGGAUAGGAGCUCCUGCUGCAUGGUGGGGGUUGGAAAGUUUCGGCGGUUGGGGAUGGACUCGCGGCUUAUCGGCUUGUUGGUGGGGUAGUGGCUUACCAAGGCUUUGAGGGGUAGCCGGCCUGGGAGGGGAAACGGCCACAUGGGGCCUACGAUACGGCCCAGACUCCAACGGGAGGCAGCGGGGGGGAAUAUUGCACAAUGGGGGGAAGCCUGUUGCAGCAGCGCCGCGUGCGGGAUAACGGCUUUCGGGUUGAAAACCACUUUGGCCUGUAACGAGGCGUGAGUGACGGUAAUGGGUAAAGAAGCACCGGCUAACUACGUG